rnacentral:SRP_RNA from 1 species
CGACGGGCAUAGUUGGGAGGCCAGCCCCCUCCUGCAACCACAAACGGGCUUAAGGUGGAACAAGAGCUCUAUUCCGCGUGUGGAGCGAUCCAUAAUGCGUCCCAUAAUGAUUGCAGACUCCUCGUCCUCAUUGGCGGGGCGAUUGCCGAACCAUGUCAGAUCCGGAAGGAAGCAGCAUUAAGACACCCGAACCGCGCUUUAAGGGUUGCGGGGACGAGAUUAUUACGGGGCAAACGCUUAUGGCGAGCAAAAUGCCAAGAGUAGAGCACGCCCGUCA